AAAAGAAGAAAAGGGAGGAAAUAAGAAGGAAGUUUACCUGGAGGUGAAUUGAAGAAGUAGAGUAACCAAUGAGUAAGAGAUUAUCUGCUGUCGAAUUUUGAUCGGAGGAAGUUGAGGAAAUUUUAUUUUGUUCUCCUCUUUUUCUUUUUUUUUUUCUACUCAGCCAAAAGUAUGAAAUGUGGAAGGGUAAAACGAUCCAGUAUAAACACUUUCACACAAUAAGGAAUAUACACAUCGGACACACAUGCGCGCACAAUCGAUUAUGGAAUAAAAUUUUGUGUGACGACAUCAAUAAUUUUUCUAGCAAAAUAAUAUUAACAAAACAAAACUUAUGUUUUUGUUUUAAAAAAAAAUCGGGUCUUUACAGUUGGACUCAUCUCCUACCAGCUUAAGCUUUUGGGAGGGUUGGUUACUUAACAUAAGUUACAACCUUCACGACACAUCUUGAUCCGAGAGAGUGAUCAAUCCUAAAAGCUGAACCACAAUCACGGUCGGAUUGAUCCGUGUUUACAAGCAGGGAGAAGCAACCAAAAAUCAUUGGAAAGAGAAAGAAAAUUUGUUCAAUUGGACACAGGCUGCCAUCUCAUGUGCGACACUAUUAGCUUGGCUGGAAGUGAAAGCAAAAAUUACAUCCGAAACUUCCCAGCAGAAACUGUCCAAAAUCGAAACUCAUACAUCCGCAUGCAAAUCCUCAUCCGAAUUUUUUGAAUCCUUACUUUCCGUGUAAUGUAAUACAAUAAUUAUCUUCUUCUUUUUUUGUCAAUUGGGAGAGAUGGCUGAUAAUUGGACUAAAGCGGCAAAUUGCUAAUCCGUUGUACAAAUUAUUUGUACCGAGGGUUCAAAUCCUCUCUUUCCCUUUGUUUUUAUGACUUGAUAUUUAAUUUAUCUUUCAACUUUUGCAAACCCUUUUCUUUUUUCGUAGUUAAACGUGUGAAAUAGAUAAAACCACAAGAAAUUUGAAAAAUCAAACAAGGAAAACAAAAAACACAUGAGCCCAAACUUACCAACGCUACGUACUCAACUCCAGCGGCCAUUUUUCCCCCCUUCCUUUCAAAAACAGAAUUUUGGCAGCCACUGGCUAUAGCACAACAUUCCAACUUAGCCGCAAUCAUUUCGCCUAUAGGUUACAAGUGCAUAAAAAGAGAAGUAUCCGACAGUAAAUCAUAGUCCCUGGAUCGUAUUUUUAUAAAGAAUGUGACAGAAUAAGAUCCAAAAUCACAAAUACAACGUAACAUUUCUCAAAGGCCAAAGUCAUGCAACAACAAAAUAAGGUACAAUGUGAAAUGGCAACCACAAUACAACACAGAACCAUCGAAAAUGUAGCAAGCUGAUAUAAAAUUGGUUGGCAAAAAAAAGUAUGAUGCUGUAAUCGAGUCUCACUCAGGUAGUAGAAGGCUCCGGACCGGUCACAGCAGAAUCUUCUUCUUUCGAUGCGUCUACACCACCACCGUUGGGGAUAGAGGCAUCUUUCACAGGAGCAACCGGAGCCUCUCCAGCUGGUUUUGAUGCUCCAUUUUUCCCUUCUUUGGCAUCCUUCCCAUUUUUGGCAUCUUU